CUGGCGGUGGAGAAGGAGCUCGGCUUCACCAAGAAGCAGGAUAUCGAGGCCUACGGCAUCGCCGAGUUCAACGCCCGCUGCCGGG
rnacentral:tRNA from 1 species